rnacentral:rRNA from 1 species
GACGUAGGAGGCAAGCGUUAUCCGGAGUUACUGGGCGUAAAGAGUGCGUAGGCGGACGUGUAAGUGGGUGGUGAAAGCGCCCGGCUAAACCGGGCGAGGUCCAUUCAGACUGCAGGUCUAGAGGCGGAUAGAGGGGUGCGGAAUUCCGGGUGUAGCGGUGAAAUGUGUAGAGAUCCGGAGGAACACCAGUGGUGCAAACGGCGCCCUGGGUCCGAACUGACGCUGAAGCACGAAAGCGUGGGGAGCGAACGGG